rnacentral:rRNA from 1 species
UACUCCUACGGGAGGCAGCAGUAGGGAAUCUUCCACAAUGGACGGAAGUCUGAUGGAGCAACGCCGCGUGAGUGAUGAAGGUUUUCGGAUCGUAAAACUCUGUUGUAAGGGAAGAACCAGUACGUCAGGCAAUGGACGUACCUUGACGGUACCUUAUUAGAAAGCCACGGCUAACUACGUGCCAGCAGCCGCGGUAAUA